GACUCGAUUACCGAACAGUCACCGUAUGGUGUGCGUGCCUCCUUGAGGGGCUAGGCAUCGAGUCGAUU
rnacentral:sRNA from 12 species